AUUGAACGCUGGCGGCAGGCCUAACACAUGCAAGUCGAGCGAGAGGCGGACGGGUGAGCAAUGUCUGGGAAACUGCCUGAUGGAGGGGGAUAAAUACUGGAAACGGUAGCGAAUACCGCAUACCAUCAGAGGUGCCCAGAUGGGAUUAGCUAGUAGGGGGGGUAAUGGCUCACCUAGGCGACGAUCCCUAGCUGGUUGGAGAGGCUGACCAGCCACACUGGAACUGCGACACGGUCCAGACGCCUACGGUAGGCAGCAGUGGGGAAUAUUGCACAAUGGGCGCAAGCCUGAUGCAGCCAUGACGCGUGUGGGAAGAAGGCCUUCGGGUUGUAAAGCACUUUCAGCGGGGAGGCGUUACCCGCAGAAGAAGCACCGGCUAACUCCGUGCCAGCAGCCGCGGUAAUUC
rnacentral:rRNA from 1 species